rnacentral:miRNA from 1 species
AAUAUUAUGAGGUCGGUCAACG